CCGCGGCCUCCGGGGUACUUCCGGUUCUUCCUGAUGUAGGUCAUCGUUGCCGCUGCCGUUGCCGCCACCACCCCUUGAGUUCUAUCCCCCCCUUUUCCCUCUAGGGUUAGGGUUUCGGCAAUGGGGCGGAACGAGGCAGGGGGCGAGAGUUGAUGGGUUCGUCACACAUACUGGGAAAUACUGAGAAAGAUGGAACUGGAAGGAG
rnacentral:lncRNA from 1 species